AUACGGAGGGUGCGAGCGUUACUCGGAGUCACUGGGCGUAAAGCGUCCGUAGGCGGUCGGGUAAGUCGUGUGUGAAAGCCCCGGGCUCAACCUGGGAAGUGCACCCGAUACUGCUCGACUCGAGUGCGGGGGAGGAUGGCGGAAUUCCCGGUGUAGCGGUGUAAUGCGUAGAGAUCGGGAGGAACACCAGUGGCGAAGGCGGCCAUCUGGCCCGCAACUGACGCUGAGGGACGAAAGCGUGGGGAGCAAACAGGAUUAGAAACCCUUGUAGUCC
rnacentral:rRNA from 1 species